rnacentral:rRNA from 1 species
GCAAUACGGCAGCGGCAGACGGGAGAGUAACACGUGGGAACGUACCCUUCGGUUCGGAAUAACUCAGGGAAACUUGAGCUAAUACCGGAUACGUCCGUAAGGAGAAAGAUUUAUCGCCGAGGGAUCGGCCCGCGUCCGAUUAGCUAGUUGGUGGGGUAAUGGCCCACCAAGGCGACGAUCGGUAGCUGGUCUGAGAGGAUGAUCAGCCUCACUGGGACUGAGACACGGCCCAGACUCCUAUGGGAGGCAGCAGUGGGGAAUAUUGGACAAUGGGCGCAAGCCUGAUCCAGCCAUGCCGCGUGGGUGAUGAAGGCCCUAGGG